rnacentral:rRNA from 1 species
UACAUGAGUGGCAAGCGUUAUCCGUAAUUAUUGGGCGUAAAGGAUGCGUAGAUGGUAAAAGUAGUUGUAAUUUACUAUAACAGAUAAUUGGGUCUUUUACAAAACCUUUUUACUUGAGUUUUAUUAUAAGUUUAUAAAAGUUAUAAAUUAGUGAUAAAAUACUUCUAGUUUAUAAUUAUUUUCAAUGGCGAAAGCAAUAAACUGAAUAAAACUGACAUUGAGGCAUUAAAGUAUGGUUAUCAAAUAGGAUUAGACACCCUACUAGUCCAUACUAUAAACUAUGAGUAUUAAAACUAAUUUGGUUGAAGCUUACGCUUAAAUACUCCGCCUGGGCAGUAUAGUCGCAAGGUCGAAACUUAACAGAAUUGGCGGGAAUUUGUUUGAAUGGUGGAACAUGUGGUUUAAUACGAUAAUCCGCGCAAAAUCUUACCAAGAUGGUUGAAACUGUUAAUUACUUUCUAAUCAGGGUCUUUAUUUUAGUUUCGACACGGUACUGCAUGGCUGUCGUCAGUUCGUGCUUUAAGGCAUGGAAUUAAGUUUUUUAACGAACGAAACCCCCCUAAUUAGUUUUAAAAUAAUUUUAAUUUUUUAAAAUAAUUUUAAUUUUUUUAAAAUUAUUAAUUAUUAAAUUUGUUUUUUCUAAUUUUAAGAUUUAUCAAUGUUUUUUAAUUUAAAAUUGUGUUGAUUAAAUGGAGGGAAGGGCUGAAGUCAAGUCAUUAUGGUCUGCGUAUCUUGGGCUACACACGUGUUACAAAGGUAGAGACAAAGAGUAGCUAAAAAGCAAUUUGGAGCAAAUCUCUAAAAACUACCCUAAUUCAGAUUGUCCUCUGAAACUCGAAGGCAUGAAGAUGAAAUCAUUAGUAAUCGUAGAUUAGUACGCUACGGUGAAUGAGAAAUCAAAUUUUGCACACACCGCCCAUCACGCUCUGAGAAUUAAAAUGUUUCGAAGAACUUUUUUUUCCAUUACCGGAAACUUGUUAUGGUUAUAUAUUAUUAUAAAGAAUAACUAAACUUUUUUGAUUUAAUUCAAAAAACGUACAAAGUUGAGUUAUUAGGACAUUUUAGUUAUUUGAGUGAAGUUG